rnacentral:rRNA from 1 species
AGUGAACGCUGGCGGUAGGCCUAACACAUGCAAGUCGAACGGCAGCACAGGAGAGCUUGCUCUCUGGGUGGCGAGUGGCGGACGGGUGAGGAAUACAUCGGAAUCUACUCUGUCGUGGGGGAUAACGUAGGGAAACUUACGCUAAUACCGCAUACGACCUACGGGUGAAAGCAGGGGAUCUUCGGACCUUGCGCGAUUGAAUGAGCCGAUGUCGGAUUAGCUAGUUGGCGGGGUAAAGGCCCACCAAGGCGACGAUCCGUAGCUGGUCUGAGAGGAUGAUCAGCCACACGGGAACUGAGACACGGUCCAGCCUCCUACGGGAGGCAGCAGUGGGGGAUAUUGGACAAUGGGCGCAAGCCUGAUCCAGCCAUACCGCGUGGGUGAAGAAGGCCUUCGGGUUGUAAAGCCCUUUUGUUGGGAAAGAAAUCCAGCUGGCUAAUACCCGGUUGGGAUGACGGUACCCAAAGAAUAAGCACCGGCUAACUUCGUGCCAGCAGCCGCCGUAA